AUAUAGUGUCCAAGAACAAGAACUAUGUGAAAGGGGUCAGGGAUGGAAUGCAAACACAAGACUACAUAGGGGGGUGGCUCCUAGGGCCAGUAAGUUGAUGCCCCUGUCACUCACUCUACAAUAUCCCAACCUCUGCCCACCUGCCCAUGUGAGAAAAUUACACUUCCACAAAGGAGACAAGGUGGGGUGGGCUCUGAUACAUGGAAUCUUUUCUUACUCCUAGGUUACCAGCAGGCCCUGUGGGCACUUUGGGACUGUGGAAGAGGCAGCACUGGGACUGGUCCUCAGCAGCUGCCAGUAGCAAUACCAGGAUGGCAGGGGGAGUGCUGCUUCCUCUCCUCCAGCCUCUCCUGAGGGUCUAAGGACCAACAGGAAUUGGAGGUUGUGCUGGGAGAAAGCCCCCUAGACCUGUGAGCACUGCCUAAUGAUGUCACAAAGAACAGAGGAGCCCCCCUAGGAAAAAGAAAGUGACCUCUGAGGAUGCUACAAGACCACCGAAUUAGGGGUCCCCCUCCUCCCAGCCUGAGCCCCUUGCUGGCCCCACAUAGAAAACAUCCAGAUGGGUACACACACAGAUCACCAUGAAAGUGUGUUUUAUUUAAGAGUCCAGAGUGCUGAAGAUCCAGAAUUAGAAGACACCUAGUGCCGUUUCUGCUUUGCCCUGUGGGGAGCACCUGGCCAAUGAGCCCAGCCCAGGUGGGUACAAUGAGGCAGAAGAGCCUGGUUUUUCCACAGGAGCCCCAGCUGCAGUGUGCAGGUGGGUGUGUGAAAGGCUUCCCAUGCAGAGGUCCAGAAGAUCUGGGGCUUCCGGGUAGAGGCUGGCGGCUGGUGUGAGUGACCCCUCCAGUUCCAGGGCACACAGUGGGGAGCAAGGGAUAAAACUGUCCCUCCUCAGGCAAACAAGAUGGAGAAGAGGAAGAAAAAGUCAACAAAGAAAGUGAGGUUCAGGAAGCCAGAGGCAGAACACUCCACACACUGUGCUCUUCUCAGAGGUCUCUCCAGGAGUGGCCCCUUUCCUGUAGAGGUCAGGGUACCUCUCUAACAGGCCAGGCCACAGGACAUCCUUGCCUGAAGAGAGAGGGACCUCACAACAUCAAAUCCCUUCUCCCACCCAGACAGUCCACAGGAAACUGGAAAAUCUGGAAGCAGAGGUGAAUAGAGAGAGCUAGUAUCUUCCUCCUAGCCACUAAGCAGAACAGCAGAUAGGCAGAGGUCAAUCAAUGCCAGAAAGGAAAGGGAAUUCUGUAGAUCUUUCUAGAGAAAGCAGUACCAGAACCCCAAAGGCACUGUUAAUAGGUUUUAACAGAAGUAUAUUGAUUGCAGGAAAUAACACUGAUCCUGGGGGAGGGGGGUUAGGGAGCUCCGAGGAAUGGGAAAUUGACAUGAGAAGUCAGUUUCACAUAAGCUCUGGGAUAAGCCUACUCCCACCCACCACCCAUCCUCCACACACACAUGUGUGGAAGGGGCCUUCCUACAGUCCUUCCAGGGUCAGGUGGCUUCCUAAGUCACCCUAGUCCAGACCAGCUUCCAGACCAGACUGUCCAGUACAGUCCCUGUCUGCUGUCUUCGGCCAAAUCACCAGUCAUUCACAUCACAACAGUGGCUUUUCCAAAUUGUAUUUCUGGGACCAACAAUGUUGGAGCCAUAACAGGGCAGAGAAACACACAAAGGAUGUUACUAGCCACAGACAAUCUAGUGCCUGCUUCCUCCUCUUUAGAGAAAGAGUAAUACACACACACACACACACACACACACACACACACACACACACACACUCACACUCACUCACUCACUCACUCACUCACUCACUCACUCACUCACUCACUCACAUAGGGCUUGUCCUGAUACUCAAAAUUCUUUGUGAACUAGCCAUGCCUGGACCGGCUAAUCUCUUUUUAAAGAGGAAAGAGAAAGUGUCACCAACACCUGAAGACUUCUGUUGGGGCAUUUUUCCCUUUGAGCUUUCACCUGAUCAUCCCCAAAUUAGUAAGGCCAGAGCUUGAGAGAGCCCAGCAGACCCCUCCCCACAGAGCUGUCCAGAACAUGGGAGCAGCAGAUGUCAGAAACUCUAAACAUAUAGCUGAACACCCUUUGUGUAUUUUUUUUAGGCUCUUGAUAACUACUCAACUCUUUCACUUUUGUCAACAGUUGCUUUAAAAUUACUAUUUGGUGGCCAUCAGGCCAGAAGAGAUGACAUCUGAGAGGAAUAUCCGGAGGUGGAAGAGGUGACUUUCCUUCGAUGACAUUCUGAGCAGACGGACGUUGGACACACACCAUCAUACCAAAGUUCCAUAAAUAAUGUUUGAUUGGGUUUCAACAUCUUGGACAAGAUGGCUUUCAGAUUCUUCCCUCCCCAGGCAUUGCUGACUGACUUUUCACAGGAUGCAAACACAGCAGAAAACAGGUUUUACCUGCAAGAGAAAGAAGAAAGCACUGAGCAGCUCCUGGAAGAGUCCUGUGUCCAUUUUAAUCCCUUCAAAACUGCUUCCCUCUGGACACAGUCCCACUCCAAGCCCCCUGUAUGAGCUUCCUGGAAGCUAACUCUUCCCCUGCCCUCAGCUCCAGGCUCUUAGGAGUUUUCCUGUCAGCCCUCACACCCCCACCCACUGGACACAAACAGAAUCGCUAAUACUCCGCUUCAAGUUCCUUCUUCCCAGUAUGUAUAUCUAUGGCUCUUUACACCAUGGGCCAGCAAACCCAUUUCUGUCAAAGUCCAGAGAGUAUUUUCAACUCUGCAGGUCCUAUAGUCUCUGAGACUAAAGUGAUUGUUCCAAUAAAGCUUCGUCAUUAUAUUAUGUU